ensembl:lncRNA
CUGCCCUGCCUUUUUGGUGCGCCUCGGUGUUCCUCCUGCCCCGUGAACGCUUCUAGUAAAGACCAUCCUCAUUUUCCUGCGUGUGCAGGAAGAGUAGGGGAAUAGCGUCACUGUACCCAACAAUAGCCAACUUUUAUGCUUCGCCAUCCCACAGAACAGGAAAAAACACAGUGACUUUACAUUGUGUGUUUAAGAGACAGUAUAAAUUGGCUAUUUUAUCACUUCCUUCUAAGGAAAAGUGGAGCCAGUGUCCCAUUCGGCUGUGCCCUAGGGUGCGUUAUGUGAAAGCCACAACUGUUUCUUUGAGAUAAAUACUGAAGAGCCACAUAGACAGUGCCCUGUGAGCAAUCCUUCAGAAACUGCGUGGCUGCCAAGGGCAAGGAUGUCGUUCUUCCCUUUCGGAGUUAAACACAUCCAAAAUUCCCCUGAUCUGUUAAACAUUGACUCCCUCCCACCCAACCAUUACAGCAGCGCUCCGCUUCUCAUGUUCCCGGCUGCUAUUUUAGGAGUGUGCAGCCAACGCUGCCUGUCGGAGCGGAGCUGACCCUGCCACUCCCUCCCUGGGUGCUCUCUGAGCCCAGCACCAAAAUCCCCCCCCAGGUUAACCUGCAGUGCUUCUGCCGUCAGUCUGGUCAAUGACACCCAAUUUCCAGCAAGCAGGGGCUCUUCCUCUCCUCGUUGCCAGCUUGCCUUGAGCCUGAGGGCAGCUGCUCCCUUCCCAAGGUGUUUGGGUCUGCUGCUAAGCCCUCAUGAUGGGGAGAGGUGUGCAGUGCUGAGAUCCUCUGAUGGGAUGAGGUAUUGGGACUGUCUAUUCCAAUGCAUAGGUUGAGAAGUAAGAGUCUCAAGUUGCACUAUGGAAGGUUCAGGUUGGAUAUUAGUAAAGAUUUCUUCUUAUCAUUAGCACAGGCUGCCCAGGAAGGUGGUGGAGUCACCGUCCCUGGAGGUGUUCCAGAGCCGUGUGGAUGUGGCUCUGAGGACACGGUCAGCGGGCAUGGUGGGGAUGGGCUGGCAGUUGGACCGGGUGAUCUUAGAGGUCUUUUCCAACUUUCAUGAUUAUGUAGAAGUGCUGCCAGGUUGUGCUGCCAGGUUUUGGCUUCCUGUAAAUUCAACAAGUUACAUCUCGGACAGCUGCAAUAUCCUGAGCAAGAAGCCCACCCAGGUGUAUGUCCACCACCAGUCCCACACUGCUCCAGCACCAGGCUGUGCCUCGGGGCAGAGGUGCUGCAUCUGAGCACAGGGCCACACCGUGCUGCAGCUUGGCCAGCACAGCAGCUGCAGGGCAAACGCAGGGCUGUGCUUCGUGCAGGCUGCAGCAUGCCUGCCAGUAUUUAUAUAACACCGUUUUGCUUUAAUCUGGCUUUUUAAGUAAAUUAUCAAAGCCCUUUCUGUUCACUGGGAGCCUCUAUUUUUUAUUUCUUUCUUUCUUUUUACUACAAGUUUCGUCUUUCAAAGCUAGGCCACUUUUGAGUGAUGCUGAAAAAUCCCAUUUGCAGUGGCUUUUUGUUCCAUGCUUGCAUUGUUCAGGCAGCAGCAGUUGUUUUCUUUUCAUCCUGGCAUAGCUCAGGAGUGACUGCAUGGUCUUAGCUCCAACUUUCUAAAAAUACUCACCCGUGAGGCGGCCUCACACCAGCGGAUGAAUGCUUUGGAAAGGCACGAUGGCCUGAAAAGAAGCCGGCGGCAGCGCCGUGCCAGCCCUUUGUGGCUGCGAGCGGUGCAUCUGCAGCAUGUGCCAGCCAGAGAGCACCUGCAAAGUGCUUUGGGCUGCUGAAGCUCGAGCGGUGUGAGAGAAUGCAGUAGAGGUGCCUGCAAGAGAAUUGCUGCCUCUGCAGGGUGACCCAGGAGUGAUGAAGAAAGUGCCUCCUGCUGGAGAAGCCUCAGCAGCCACAUCCUCUUCUCCGAGCGUGGGACACCCGGUGCUGGGGAGGGGAUGGCAGGGAUGAAGCCAAGCGUAAAUCAGGCUGUGGCAGUUUGCAGGAAAGCGUUUGGGAGCUACCCCUCAUCCUGCCCCCGGCCCAUGGCAGGAAGCUCCCCAGGUGAUGGCUGUAGCAGCUGCUGUGACGGGAGGCCUCAUUGUUCUGAGGCCACGAUCUCAGGGCCGUGCCAGCUUUCGGCAGGAAGCUGCAAGACAAAACCUUCAAGUUGUUCUUCCUCCCUCACUGGCCUCAUUCUCAAGGGGCUGAGCCUUUGGUUGGGCUCCUCCAGCACUCACCAACAAGGACAUUCAACUUCCCUCUGCCCUGUGUACCUCUCUGGGCUUCCCCUUCCCCCCUCCCCAGUCUGCGGCUCAAGUUCAGUUCCCAGUCUGUGAUGACACUUGGAAGCACACUUGGGGUCCUGCCAUUGGUGCCUGCAUGGAGAUGGAGGAUGCUUGUGGAAAUGAGACAUCAUCCAUGGGGGCCAUUACUCAUGGCCGGCUGCUCCUGCUCUGCCCUGGCCCCAUUGCAUUGCCC